GACGUAGGGCGCGAGCGUUGUCCGGAUUAUUGGGCGUAAGAGCUCGUAGGCGGCUUGUCGCGUCGACUGUCGAAUCCCGCGGCUCAACCGCGGGUCUGCAGUCGAUACGGGCAGGCGUAGAGUUCGGUAUGGGGAGACUGGAAUUCCUGGUGUAGCGGUGAAAUGCGCAGAGUAUCAGGAGGAACACCGGUGGCGAAGGCGGGUCUCUGGGCCGAUGACUGACGCUGGAGGAGCGAAAGCCGUGGGGAGCGAACAGG
rnacentral:rRNA from 1 species